UGCCUACGGGAGGCAGCAGUGAGGAAUAUUGGUCAAUGGGCGCGAGCCUGAACCAGCCAAGUCGCGUGAGGGAAGACGGUCCUAUGGAUUGUAAACCUCUUUUGUCGGGGAGCAAAAGACGCCACGCGUGGCGUUCCGAGAGUACCCGAAGAAAAAGCAUCGGCUAACUACGUGCCAGCAGCCGCGGUAAUACGUAGGUGGCGAGCGUUAUCCGGAAUGAUUGGGCGUAAAGGGUGCGCAGGCGGGUG
rnacentral:rRNA from 1 species